AGUGGAUGGGGAGCAACCUAGUUGUGCGUGUGUAAAGGUAGUGCCAAGAAAAGCGAUGAUCAUGUUGAAAAUCAAUUCCCGGUACCCGAAACCGACACAGGUGGGCAAGUAGAGAAUACUAAGGGGCGCGAGGUAACUCUCUCCAAGGAACUCGGCAAAAUGACCCCGUAACUUAGGGAGAAGGGGUGCCACCGAGAGGUGGUCGCAGUGAAGAGGCCCAGGCGACUGUUUAGCAAAAACAUAGGUCUCUGCAAACUCGAAAGAGGAGGUAUAGGGGCUGACGCCUGCCCAGUGCCGGAAGGUUAAAGAAGUUGGUCAGUUUUAGGAUGAAGCUAGCGACUGAAGCCCCGGUGAACGGCGGCCGUAACUAUAACGGUCCUAAGGUAGCGAAAUUCCUUGUCGGGUAAGUUCCGACCCGCACGAAAGGCGUAACGAUCUGGGCGCUGUCUCGGAGAGAGGCUCGGCGAAAUAGGAUUGUCUGUGAAGAUACGGACUACCUGCAUUUGGACAGAAAGACCCUAUGAAGCUUUACUAUAGCUUGGAAUUGUGUUCGGGCUUCCUGUGCGCAGGAUAGGUGGGAGGCGUAGAAGGUAUUCUUGUGGGGAUACUGGAGCCAACGGUGAGAUACCACUCUCAGGAGGCUAGAAUUCUAACUUAAUUAAGGACAGUUUCAGGUGGGUAGUUUGACUGGGGCGGUCGCCUCCAAAAAGGUAACGGAGGCGUACAAAGGUUCCCUCAGACUGGUUGGAAAUCAGUCGAAGAGUGCAAAGGCAGAAGGGAGCUUGACUGCGAGAAGUACAGUUCGAGCAGGGUGGAAACACGGUCCUAGUGAUCCGACGGUGCUGUGUGGAAGGGCCGUCGCUUUACGGAUAAAAGUUACUCUAGGAUAACAGGCUGAUCUCCCCCAAGAGUUCACAUCGACGGGGAGGUUUGGCACCUCGAUGUCGGCUCAUCGCAACCUGGGGCGGAAGUACGUCCCAAGGGUUGGGCUGUUCGCCCAUUAAAGCGGUACGUGAGCUGGGUUCAGAACGUCGUGAGACAGUUCGGUCCAUAUCCGAUGUAGGCGUGAGAAUAUUGAGAGGAGCCUUCCUUAGUACGAGAGGACCGGGAAGGACGCACCGCUGGUGUACCUGUUAUGAUGCCAAUUGUAAACGCAGGGUAGCCAAGUGCGGAGAGGAUAACCGCUGAAAGCAUCUAAGUGGGAAGCCCACCUCAAGAUGAGUAUUCUGGUGUAAGGUCACGGGAAGACGACCCGUAAAUAGGCACGAGGUGGAAGUGCAGAGAUGUAUGAAGCCGAAGUGUACUAAUAGACCGUCGGCUUGACCG
rnacentral:rRNA from 1 species